rnacentral:tRNA from 1 species
AUUUUUCUAGUAUAAGUUAGUAUAAGUGACUUCCAAUCACACGGCCCCGGUUAAAUUCCGAGGAAAAAUA